GACGAACGCUGGCGGCGUGCCUAAUACAUGCAAGUUGAGCGCUGAAGACUGGUACUUGUACCGGUUGGAUGAGCAGAGAACGGGUGAGUAACGCGUGGGUAACCUGCCCUAUAGAGGGGGAUAACUAGAGGAAACUUUAGCUAAUACCGCAUAAAAUCUAAUAACACAUGUUAUAAGAUUGAAAGUGCUAAUUGGUACACUAUAGGCUGGACCCGCGUUGUAAUUAGCUAGUUGGAGAGGUAAAGGCUCACCAAGGCGAUGAUACAUAGCCGACUUGAGAGUGUGAUCUACCACACUGGAUCUGAGACACGGACCAGACUCCUUCGGGAGGCAGCAGUAGGGAAACUUCCGCAAUGGACGGAAGUCUGACCGAGCAACGCCGCGUGAGUGAAGAAGGUUUUCGGAUCGUAAAGCUCUGUUGUAAGAGAAGAACACCAGUAAGUGUGGAAAGCUUACUGGCUGACGGUAUCUUACCAGAAAGCCACGGCUAACUACGUGCCAGCCGCCGCAGUAA
rnacentral:rRNA from 1 species